CCUACGGGGGGCAGCAGUGAGGAAUAUUGGUCAAUGGGCGCAACCCUGAACCAGCCAAGUCGCGUGAAGGAUGACGGCCCUAUGGGUUGUAAACCUCUUUUGUCCGGGAACAAACUCAGUGACGUGUGCCUGAUUGCAGGUAACCCAUGAAUAAGGCCCGGCUAAGUCCGUGCCAGCAGCCGCGGUAAUACGGAGGGUCCGGGCGUUAUCCGGAUUUAUUGGGUUUAAAGGGAGCGUAGGCCGCCCGUUAAGGGAGUGGUGAAAUGCCGGGGCUCAACCCCGUCCCGCCGUGGAAACUGGGGGGCUUGAGUGGGCGAGAAGAAGGCGGAAUGCGUGGUGUAGCGGUGAAAUGCAUAGAUAUCACGCAGAACCCCGAUUGCGAAGGCAGCCUACCGGCGCCCUACUGACGCUGAGGCACGAAAGUGCGGGGAUCGAACAGGAUUAGAUACCCUAGUAGUC
rnacentral:rRNA from 1 species